rnacentral:rRNA from 1 species
GAUGAACGCUGGCGGCGUGCUUAACACAUGCAAGUCGAACGAUGAAGCCCAGCUUGCUGGGUGGAUUAGUGGCGAACGGGUGAGUAACACGUGAGUAACCUGCCCUUAACUCUGGGAUAAGCCUGGGAAACUGGGUCUAAUACCGGAUAGGAGCGUCCACCGCAUGGUGGGUGUUGGAAAGAUUUAUCGGUUUUGGAUGGACUCGCGGCCUAUCAGCUUGUUGGUGAGGUAAUGGCUCACCAAGGCGACGACGGGUAGCCGGCCUGAGAGGGUGACCGGCCACACUGGGACUGAGACACGGCCCAGCCUCCUACGGGAGGCAGCAGUGGGGAAUAGUGCACAAUGGGAGCAAGCCUGAUGCAGCGACGCCGCGUGAGGGAUGACGGCCUUCGGGUUGUAAACCUCUUUCAGUAGGGAAGAAGCGAUAGUGACGGUACCUGCAGAAGAAGCACCGGCUAACUACGUG